rnacentral:rRNA from 1 species
CGAGCGAGAACCCGCAAGGGGGACAGCGGCGAACGGGGUAGGAUAACGUAGGUAACGUACCCUCGGGGCGAGGACAGCCACGGGAAACUGUGGGUAAUACUCGAUAAUCUUCCCAGUCUUGAUUGGCGGGGAAGCAAUGGGUGUGAUUCCACCUGAGGAGCGGCUUACGCAGUAUCAGCUUGUUGGUGAGGUAACGGCUCACCAAGGCUAUGACGCUUAGGGGAUGUGAGAGCAUGAUCCCCACCACUGGCACUGAGACACUGGCCAGACACCUACGGGUGGCUGCAGUCGAGAAUCUUCGGCAAUGGACGCAAGUCUGACCGAGCGACGCCGCGUGCGGGAUGAAGGCCUUCGGGUUGUAAACCGCUGUCAGAGGGGAUGAAGUGUACGGGAGUUAUCUCCUGUA